AGACAAACUCAAGCGCAAGCUGGGAGGAUCUCACUAGACCUACAAAAGUGGAAGGAAGCUGGCCGGGUGCCUGGCGCUGUGUGACCUACGCAACGAAAGGCAAGCUGAUCUUAGAAUGCUCAAAGAGGAGCAACUCUCCCAUGACCCUGUCCGUUUACACCAGAGAAGAGCAGAUAUGUCAUUCUGCUGCCAGGGCUGAGGAGGGGCAGUUUGCAUCAGGAGCAGGUGAAAGAGUGCCUGGAAAUUGCAGCACACACUGGCACACUUCCUCCCUCUCAAUCUGGUCCAGGAAGCCACAAAGGGUCUGUGAGAAAACCCUCAACAGAGUUCUCCAUGCGGCCGAUCCAGGGGAGUUUGCUCUUUGCUGUUCUUCAAGUCCCCAGGGAAGAACUGAAGAUCUUCCCAAGAUCGUUCAUGUGACGUUUGGAAAUGGAGAUGGCCUCCUGGCCCAUGCAUACCUUCAGCUUCACAUUGUGACCUUUAAUUAGGUGCCCUGCAUUUGACCUCAUCAGAGUGCCUGGUGACCUCCAGUAAUCAGGCAAGGUCAUCUGCCUGAAGUUCCUGAGGGUUUUCUAGGGCCUCAUUGUCUAUUUGGAUCCUACGCCUUUUCUGUCAUGAAGGGAUGCAAACGAAACAGAACUCACAGACGCUGUCCCCAAGAAACUUGAGGUGAAAGUAGGAUACAUACAAACAAUAUAAGACAUCUGAGCCAUCGAGAAGAAAAUAUAAACAAUCCUUGGUAAUUGAAAACCUUUGUUUUUUUGUCCCAACUAUAGGAUUGUGGUUGAGUAUCUGUCUUUUUCAACGAAUGUGAUUACAUCCAUUUCUGAAGGAGUUAAUCACUUCAGUUACCCAAAGAUUGUAACUAGUUUGUAGGACAUAUAAAGUGAGUGAUAAUAGUCAUUUCUGCUUCACAAAAUGCCAAAGAAAAUAGUCAUUAGAUAAACAGAGCCUUUUAAAUUUUCACCACUGAAACUUUCUGAGAUAUUAGAAGUGUUCUGGAGAGUUCCUCAAUGUAUCCACUUCCUACCUGAAUAAUUUGUCUGUUUUAAAAUAGUAUAGUGUUAAAUCUUGACAAAAUUCCCAUACAAAAUUAUUCCUGUUUCCCUCUACUUGGUUGGCAUAGGCUCAGAAUUCUCCCCAAAGAUUUUUACAGCUUUCUAAAAUAUCUAUCAUUGAAAAAAAGGAUACACAUGUAGUCAACCAUCAUCAAAAAAGCAAUCUUUGAAUUGAUUAGACAAUCAGUGCAGGGAUGCCGUGUGCAUCUUUGUGCAUGUACAGAGGGAGACUUCAAGCUAACGAGAAGUACAUGGCUGGGGAGAGGUAUAAUUUGUGGGGUACUUUAAUAACAUUUAUUAUUUUGGGGAAAGAUACCAAAGCUUUAAGGUUCUUGUUAAAUAAAAACUCCCCAGGGCUGAGAGUGGGAGGCA
rnacentral:lncRNA from 1 species